UAGAAGCGGAGCAAUUAGGACCCCAGCCAGCACUCAUACAGGAUACCGGUGCUAUGAGGAAACUGGGACAUGAGGAGAUUAAGAGGCCUUUUCAAACUUCAUGAGCUUGUCAUGGAUUCAAACUCAGGAACAUAAAUGAGAAGAUUUGAGCUAGGGUAUCCACCUUGUGAUCAUGACAGGAAAGUCAGCGUUAUCACAGAUUUCUCCACCCUGUGGUCCUGGGCCUCUGAACUUCUGCCAGCAGCAUUUUCACUGACAUACCUUGUUCUCAGAGAAUAUUAUCCAAAAUGUGUGCUGUCACUGUGUAGGCAAUUUUUCUGUUCCUGAAAGCUGUCAACUAUUUCUGACUCAUUAAAGAGCUAAGUGAAAUAAUUCAUUGAGAAAAA